rnacentral:rRNA from 1 species
UACGUAGGGGGCAAGCGUUGUCCGGAUUUAUUGGGCGUAAAGAGCGUGUAGGCGGCCUGACAGGUCUGCUGUGAAAACUCGAGGCUCAACCUCGAGAUGUCGGCGGAAACCGUCUGGCUAGAGUCCGGAAGAGGAGAGUGGAAUUCCUGGUGUAGCGGUGGAAUGCGCAGAUAUCAGGAAGAACACCCGUGGCGAAGGCGGCUCUCUGGAACGCAACUGACGCUGAGACGCGAAAGCGUGGGGAGCAAACAGG